rnacentral:rRNA from 1 species
GAUGAACGCUAGCGGGAGGCUUAACACAUGCAAGGUCGAGGGGCAGCAUAGGGUAGCAAUACUCUGAUGGCGACCGGCAAACGGGUGAGUAACGCGUAUGCAACCUACCCUGUACAGGGGGAUAACCCGGAGAAAUUCGGACUAAUAUCCCGUAAUAAUAUCCGGAGGCAUCUUUGGAUAUUAAAGUUCCGACGGUACGGGAUGGGCAUGCGUAACAUUAGCUGGUUGGUAAGGUAACGGCUUACCAAGGCUAUGAUGUUUAGGGGUCCUGAGAGGGUGGUCCCCCACACUGGUACUGAGACACGGACCAGACUCCUACGGGAGGCAGCAGUGAGGAAUAUUGGUCAAUGGGCGCAAGCCUGAACCAGCCAUCCCGCGUGCAGGAAGACGGCCCUAUGGGUUGUAAACUGCUUUUCCAGGGAAAGAAACUUACGCACGUGUUGCGUGACUGACGGUACCCUGGGAAUAAGCAUCGGCUAACUCCGUG